UCUCCUGCAGGUAUAAAUGCUCAGUAGGUAUCUCACAGCUGUCAUUGCUCAGGUCGUCUUCCUCUGAGGCGCUCGUCAGUGUCUCCCUUGAAGAACCUGUGAAAAGGAAGACUCGGGCGAGCAGGAGGUUCUGCACACGGCACGACGAGAUGCCGGAGACGUCUGACAAGAGGGUGGGACGAGGACAACACCAACCAAAAUGUGACAACAUCAAACAGCUGAAGGAGCUGUGCCCUCCUCCUCCCCCUCCCCCUCCUCCUCCUCCUCUUCCUCCUCCUCCUCCACCUCCUCAGACCAGGGAAGCGGCGUCAACGCCCGCCUCAGGAAGUCAGCGUUGGCACAGUAUGGAGGUCCUGAGACAGAAGCAGCAGAGGCCCUCGGUGCUGCGUCAAGUUUCCCAAACAGCUUCCAGACAUCGACACCCGCAUCCUGAAAGUAGCGCGGCUGUCUCUGUUUGCAAAGAAGAGGUGGAUGUCGGCCAUCUUUCCCAGUCGUCUUCACCGCACGCGGGUUUCUCUCCCGGACCGACCGAUCACUUCCUCCCCCUGAGGAGAGAUGAUUCGAAGCAGACUUCCAUGGAGGCCAGGCUCCACGAUGGCAUACCUGAGGGAAUCGGCGCUCUGUUUGUGAGUGGCCUCUGCCGCUGGCCCGGAUGUGAUGCCGUAUACGAGGAUUUGUCAAAUUUCUUAAAACACCUCCAUUCUGAACACGGACAUGGUGACAGGAGCAUCGCUCAGUGGAGGGUCCAGCAGGACAUCGUUCAGUACAUGGAGAGUCAGCUCAUUCUGGAAAAACAGAAACUCAUUGCGAUGCAGCUUCACCUCUCUGACCACAAAUACUCCGACCUGAAGGCAACUUCUGAGUGGCCGUGCAGCCUUCCUCUGUUCCUUCCCCAGCCUCAGGUAACGGAUGGAGGCCGGGUGCAACAGUGGGGCAUUAAACAUCUGGAGGAGUUCCCCCAUCAUAACUACAGAUCUGCCGGUUCUGCCCAUCUUCUACCAGAUUUGGUCACCAGUAUUACAUGUUACAAAUACAACAAUAUCAGGCCUCCGUACACCUAUGCAUACCUGAUAAGAUGGUCCAUCCUGGAGUCUCCAGACAAACAACGCACUCUGAAUGAGAUUUACAACUGGUUCACGACCAUGUUCUUCUACUUCAGACACAACACAGCUACCUGGAAGAAUGCAGUGCGCCACAACCUCAGUCUUCACAAGUGUUUUGUACGAGUGGAGGGUGGAAAGGGAGCCGUGUGGACAGUGGACGAAAGCGAGUACCAGAGAAGGAAGGGACAGAAGUAUCACAGGGACUGCACUGUGAAGUGGCUCACAUCCUAGACCCGUUACUAUCCUGAAGACGCCUGAACACCAGCAAAUAGCAGCACUGAGCCGCUCCUUCCACCCUAUAUCCUUUGUUACAUAAAGAUGAUUUACCAUACCUAGCAGCUGUUUUUGUACUUAUUAGUUUCAAAAGAAAUGUUGCAAAGUGAGAAAAGCUAAUUAAUGAGCUAACUCUGAUUGAGCCCGAUGUAUGAGUUUCUUCCUUCAGUCAGUAGGACCGGGAUAAAUAUCUGUUAAACAGGUUAUAUAAAGGAAUAUGUUAAUCAUCUUCAGCUGGUUUGUGGCCAUGAUGUCACAAUUUAAUGGAUUUUUUAUUUAUUUUUUUGUCAUUCUUUUAAGCAAAUAUGUUAAUUAAGCAAAUAUUCAUUGGUUGUUAUAAUGAAUCAUAUCUUGAGCGCAUGUGAUGUGGCUUAUCAUUUUCUACUACUAUUUGAAGUUAUAUUCCAAACCAUCGCUGUUCAGUUUUGUUUUGCUGUAAAGUUGUGAUAUUAUUUUUUUUCUGUUGUUUUGUAAAGUUGCAGGGUGUUUGCGUUGCCAAUUAUCUUCUUUUUCAAUCUUAAUAAAUUAAGUAAUUACACACUG